rnacentral:lncRNA from 1 species
GGCGGCGGAGCGACAGGAGGCGCUGAGGGAGUUCGUGGCGGUGACGGGCGCCGAGGAGGACCGGGCCCGCUUCUUUCUCGAGUCGGCCGGCUGGGACUUGCAGAUCGCGCUAGCGAGCUUUUAUGAGGACGGAGGGGAUGAAGACAUUGUGACCAUUUCGCAGGCAACCCCCAGUUCAGUGUCCAGAGGCACAGCCCCCAGGUAAGGGCCAGCUUCAAUUAUCGCUACAUGAGUGUUUCCAGCAGUGAAGAGGAGCUAUUUUCUGACCAGAGCGUUCAGGCCUGGGUGUGUGGACCAGGUCUGAAUGAGAAGGUUAGACUGAGUCAAUGGGUAGUACUUCCCAGCAGGCCUCAGUCAUUUCCUAUACAGAGAUGCAUGACUUUUAACUGGGUGUGGUUUAUGGUUCAAUCCUGGGGGAAACCACAAACCUACUUUUAAGACUUUUACUUAUGUAGUAUGAGGAAUGACCACUGCAACUCUAAAGUUUUUAAGUAAAAGCCAAAAAACUUCCUUUCAAGGGUGCUAUAGAUGUGAAAGUUUAGGCGAAAUGACUUAGGAAAGCUGUUUUGAUAUUUUAGGAUGCCCGUUACCUUAUUAAGAAGUCUUGUACAAAAUAAACCUGUG